rnacentral:rRNA from 1 species
GCUUACAGUAAAAUAAAAUAUUAUUUAUAAGGGUUUAGUUGGGGUGACAAAGGAGUAGAGUAAAAUCUCCUUUAUUAUUAACAAGUCGAUUUUUAUAGGAAAGAAUAAACUACCUUAGGGAUAACAGCAUAAUUUUAUUAUUAAGUUUGUGACCUCGAUGUUGGACUAGGAAACUAAUGAGUUAGCCGCUUAUUAUGUAAGGUUCUGUUCGAACUUAAUUUCCU